rnacentral:rRNA from 1 species
GCUUCUCUUGAGAGCGGCGGACGGGUGAGUAAUGCCUAGGAAUCUGCCUGGUAGUGGGGGAUAACGUCCGGAAACGGACGCUAAUACCGCAUACGUCCUACGGGAGAAAGCAGGGGACCUUCGGGCCUUGCGCUAUCAGAUGAGCCUAGGUCGGAUUAGCUAGUUGGUGGGGUAAUGGCUCACCAAGGCGACGAUCCGUAACUGGUCUGAGAGGAUGAUCAGUCACACUGGAACUGAGACACGGUCCAGACUCCUACGGGAGGCAGCAGUGGGGAAUAUUGGACAAUGGGCGAAAGCCUGAUCCAGCCAUGCCGCGUGUGUGAAGAAGGUCUUCGGAUUGUAAAGCACUUUAAGUUGGGAGGAAGGGCAGUAAAUUAAUACUUUGCUGUUUUGACGUUACCGACAGAAUAAGCACCGGCUAACUCUGUGCCAGCAGCCGCGGUAAUACAGAGGGUGCAAGCGUUAAUCGGAAUUACUGGGCGUAAAGCGCGCGUAGGUGGUUCGUUAAGUUUGGAUGUGAAAUCCCCGGGCUCAACCUGGGAACUGCAUUCAAAAACUGACGAGCUAGAGUAUGGUAGAGGGUGGUGGA